AUGCUCCGUCGACGGGGGUCGAUUAGAUUUAACGUUACGCUUUUUUCCGUUAGGAUUAUCUGUAUUUGCGAACAUGGAAGGUUAAAUAAUGAAAGGUACCGAUUCAUUUACUAUCUUCGCAGAUUAUCGGAACGGACAUUUGUAAGAGAUUGAACAGUAAAACGGUUAUAUUGUUUGGAAAUAAUAUUGUUACGAAAUAAUUCCACCUUCGCAAAUUUACAGUUAUACGUGUUAAGUUAGAUUACAUCUGUUCUUGGUAACGGAGCAGGAUAAUAAAUGUGCUCGUUGCACUUUUUUUUCCCGUAUCAAUAACAAGAUUAUCGCAAUAUUUUCUAAUAAUUGUUGACAACGAGGCUCCAUCCGCCGAUCGAGAAUUGAUCCUAUUCUGAUGUAACAUCGCGAACGUUUCUCAGCAACAAAUGGGAAAAGAAUAAUUGAUCUAUCGCGUAAUCUAUACGUUCGUGUGUACGCAAUAACGUUAUCGAUCGAAAGUAAACGUAAAGUCUAGUGACGGUGCUAGUAGGUAAGAGUAGAUCGAACGGAAUACCGUACGUCUUUACGCGUCACCUACUUCGAUACGAAUCGGGUAUGAUUUGUUUAAAAAAAUUACCCAUUGUCGUAACCAUGGUAUCGCGCUGUACCAUACAUCCCUGAGUCCUACGGGGUUUAAUAUCGUGAAGGGUAGUCGAGAGGAAGGAAGAUAGGGGCGACCCUAAAGCGAGGGAGUGCUGAUGCUAAAGCUGCGAGCACGAAGGGACCUUCAAAUAAAAAAAGGUAGGACCUACCGAGCGAGCGAGCGAACCAGCGAGAGAAAACGGGAGAGAAAAUCCGGUCCCCCUUCUUUCGAGACCAGGGAAAGGCCGCACCCACUCGGUUCUUGAAGAUCAUACUGGGUCCCCGCUGGCACAGCCCUGAGCAUGUAAGUAAACACGCCAAAGUUCUGGUGCCUCGACAUGCAGCCAACAUUUUCCACGAGGUUGGAUAUCCGUGAACGAGUGGUCACUCGCGUAGACGGAACCUCGAAGACCCUCGGUUGCGAAGAACGAAAGAAGAACGCAAAUUAGGUAUAAACCUUUUGAAAUUCAACCAGAGAAAUUCGAAUACUUUCUAACACGGGAAGAGCAUCGAAGGGACGAACAAGAGCCGUGCAAGUCUGACCAUUGUUACUCCGAUCACACGAUGCUUGCACAACGUCCACGAAGUUGCGUUAUGAGGCAGCAAUAGCUUCUCCUCGUGUUUAAAGCGAAUUCGUGUCGUCUGCGUCAUAACGUUAUAUUAUAACGUUAUUUGAAUGUAAGAUAAUCAGAAUGCAUACGCUUGGCCAGCAAGUUGGUCACUCUUAGGUUAAGCCAAAGUCAACACGUGGCAACACCGCGCUACAGCUGUCAUACGCGUCAUGCAUCGAGCCAAAGCUCAACUUAUUCAAUGUACGACAGACAUACGUAUUUUAUAAGAGUUGCUACAUUCUUUUUCUGUCGAAACAACGCCGUUCGAACUUCGACGACUGUUCGAUCGUGGAGAAAAAUUAUUCCUCCGUCAAGGAACAGUGUCGUACGAUUUGGGAUACCCCGGUGUUCCCUCGUAACAUUCUCAUGCCAUCCGCUUCCCUCUCCCAAAAUCCCAGACGGGAAAGUGAGUUUCGGAACAUGAUUGUUAAUUUUACGUAACGUACAGCUUGCUUGCUAGGAACAAGUUUCCCCUCCUGCUUUUACCCAGAUCUCUAUCCAAUACCGGACUCGAAUUUUCUGGGCUUCAAUUUCCCAGAGACGCUUUGAAGGUGCAAGUAUUACUACCGAAAUCUAUUCAUUUGGAUAUAAUCUCGAUUUCGAACCAGAAUGAUUUAAAGUGCAACGAUAAAAUUCUGUCUAUAGGCCACUUGAUAUUUAUCGAUAUAUGGAAUUGUUGAUAACAUAACUCUCAAUAACAACGGCUCUAAAACGAAAGAAAGGCCGAAAAAGAAGUUGUUAAUUGUUGUUUAGGCGCGACCCAAUAUGGGUGCAGCUAUAUUAACUUUACGACAGGAGAAAGAGGGAACCGGGAGGAAAACAAAGAGAGAACGACAACGAGAGAGAGGAUGAAGGGAUAGGGUUAGUCUGUAUCAACCGUGCACCCUUAUCAAUUGGAAAAUUGGUGCGUGCAGUGGGAGCGGAAGAGGAGGAGACUCGACUAUGUUCAGCGUUGGAGGGGAGAGAGGAACGAUUAGGUUUACGCGCCUGCCAGGGACGUACGUACCGAAGGGGCCUCGUAGCUACGGUACGAUAUCGGGUUCAGUUUGUUUUAACGAUCUGCAUUGUCUAUGCACCCUCACGAAUUAGGAAUUUCAAACCGGCUACCCGAUGAGCUGGUGGCAAGAAGGGUGCUCGUACAAAAGCCAGGGGCGUAUCCAAGGAAUAGAAGGGGGCCUUUGUGUGUACGUUGAGAGAAUCAAAAGAACCAGCAAGUGAAUCAGCGAAAGAGAACGAGGGGAAUGGUGACGGACGGAAAAGAGGGAGGAAGAAGAGUGACGAGGCGCUUAGGGCGCAUGCGUCACUCGUCGUGGGCGUCGGGAAUGUGUUGACACGAGAAGCCGAGAGAACGCUGUGCCUCACUAAUGCCACGACGCCCGUGUUAUCGUCGAUACGGUUCCCGUACUGCGGGCUCGCCUUGUCCUCAGAAAAUCUGGGUCUUCGACUUCCAUCCUAACGACGAAAUCGGGGCUCUGUUGUUGACGAGGCUCCAAUCGACUCUAUCGCUACCAAUGAUUCAGAAAUUGCUGCGUACAUGAUAAACCUGAUAAAUAGACUCGUAUAACAAUUUUCAAAGUUGGCACGAGGCUAUAGGGAAUGGUGUUUCGUAGAAAUAUAUGUUGCUCUCCACGCAGUAAAUUUCUAUGAGGUUAUGUUCGGUCGAAGCUGCUACCAGAGACAACCAUAUAACUACACUGUCAUUAUUUUCAUGAUGCUUUAGAUACAAUAAAUAAAGGCGUAGUAUCAAGGCUGUAGCUACAGUAAGUGAGGCCCAGAGCAAAAGUCAAAAUGCAAAUUUUUAUAAUCUCUCAUCUGCGACGGAAAUUAAAGUUUUGAAAAGAAGACAAUAAUGUGGUAGCACGUAAAAAAUUUCAGUCACCAUUAUACUGCAACGUAUGAACUUUUAUGGACGAGAGUCUUGCACAACCACUGGUGAAAAAUUCUAUGCAUUUAUGAGUGCAGACUUUAUAGAGAGCAGUAAGAAGAACACGAUUGUUGCUUACAACUUCUGCUUAUUUGAAUAACUAAACGGCAUGCUCGAAUCUUCGCAAUUCACAAACACAUUAUUUACAUGACACUAAAACCUGACAGGUCUUGAAAGAUGUAUUAGUGUCCCAAUUAACUAGACCAAUUAUUUUAAGUAUUGGUAAAGAAUAUUUCAGUAUUUAUAUUUAAGAAAGGAAGCUGGGUUAUGGGGUUAGAAGUUACAAGGUCACCCUCAUUUCUUUAAACUACAUAUUUUUUUCAAAUCUAUAGUUUCAUCCUGUGUACAAAUAUAGUAGGAUUAUUUAGGAAAUAAAGCUUGAGUUGCAUCUGUA
rnacentral:lncRNA from 1 species